rnacentral:lncRNA from 1 species
GGCCCAGAGGCUGACUCGGGCCAAAGACCUUCUCUACCCUGCUCUCUCUUCUCAUUCCCGCAGACGCCACUGCUCCGGGCCCAGCUUCCGGCCCUCCUGGAGGGGCUUUAUAUUGAAGAAGAGGAGUCCCUCUUGGCAGCCAUGGCCACAGUGACCAGGGUGGCCCGCAGCCUGGGGCAGAAGGGUCUGGAGACUUUUCGCCCAGACAUCGCUUUCCUGCUGGGCCCCUAUAUCGGCGACAGAGAGCUCCAGUGCGCACUGCCGCCUUGGAGAUGCUCACCGCCGUGGCCCACGGUGGGGUCGGGGAGAAGCAAACUGGCCCCCGACAGGAAUUGAUCCGUCGUAUCCUGCCAGUCCUCGUCCAUAUGAGGGAUGAGGACGCCGCCGUACGGAAAAAAGCCAGAGCGACGGUUUUUUGCCUGGCCGACAACCUGGGAUGGACGAAUAUUAAAUCUGUGAGCCAGAAAUUGAUGGGGGAGUAGGGAUUGCGUGGGGCCUCGUACGCCAUCUGGUCUUAUAUGGUGAGUGGGCUCAGGACAGUCGGGAGCAGGCCCCGGGGGCUCCGGUGGGAAACGCGGGGAGACCCCCGGCUUCCAGAAAGAGGUUGCCGGGACUGAGGUAGAAACAGCACUGGGACGGGGCGGGCAGGAGCCCGGAAGGGCUGGCCGAGGACAGAGCCCAGUGCCCAGAGAGGCAAUGGAGAUAACAGUGAUUCUCCGCAGACAGUAGGGACAGGGAUUUUCAUGGUGCGUGAGCAUCCGCGGCAGGUCGGGAAGAGGUCGGGCUGGGGUCUCACUCCCUUCCUCCCCAGAUGAAGACCCUAAAGCACAGCCGCCAGGUUUUCAUGUCCCAGGCUCUGAACUACACCAACAGCCCCCAGCCAGGGGUGCGAGCGGCUGCUGUACUCUUCCUCGCACACACCACCUACUACAGUAGGGGAGAGGCGUGGCUCUCGACGGACGUCCUCCACUUCCUCUCCCAGAGUGAGUCCUGCCAACGGCAUCGGGGUCCUUUGUCUGCCUCUCUCUCCAUCCUAUAUUUUCCCCACCUCUCGACUCUCCCUUUCUCCCCUUCCCUCUCCUCUGUCUUGGAUUCUGUCAGUACUUUCUCCCCUCUGCCUUCUCCCCUGCUUUUUUCUCUUCUCCAUUUCUUACCUUUGAAGAUCUUCCCUCCAGUCUCCACGACUAUGCGUUUCAUUCUCCCACCUCUUCCUUGCCCUCUCUCCCCAGUCCCUGGGCCCCUCUGGCUAAGAGACUAUGGGGAGCAUUUACGGAAAGAGAGAGGGAGAACCCUCUGACAGUUGGAGAAGGAGGUGGAGGAAGAGGAAGAGGAGGAGGAGGAGAGUUUGGUUGUUUCCCAGGAAAGUGCUGCUCUGGGUUCCCAUUAACUCUCCCUUCAUUUCAGCCUUUCAACGUUUGAGAACAGACCCCCUAAGCCUGGGUCGGCCACUUUGCUGCUUCUAGCAGAAGAGAAGCCAGGCCUGAAGGGGGCCAACCUGACGGAAGAUGAGAAGAGGAUCAGGAAGAGAUGGUGGCGGGACCAGUCCUGGUGUCAGCCUGUUCCUUGGGCUCACGGAGCCCGGAGUGGCGGGGGCUUCUGAAGGAUGCGCCCACUUGGGAGAAGGCAUUGCUCCCUAACUAUCAUUGCUUCCACUCCCACUAUUUAGCACUCAUAGCAUUUUGCCCCAAACCGAAUAGGAGCUGCUGCUCGACUGAGACAGACGAAGUGGGCCCUGGUUCUCGAGGUCUGCUUAUGGAUCAUAUGCCACCCUCUCCUUCCUACGGGCCGGUGGCAGCUGCUGCCACGGGGGCGUCAGCCUGAGGAGAAGCUGAGCCUGAAAGGAGACCCUAGCAUCCUGUCCCCGCUUCGGAGGGCCUGCUCGAAAGCAGCAGGGUUCGACGUUCGAAGCCCAUAUCAUUCGCCUCUACCACCCCCUCCAGGUACUUGUCGCCGUCAUCUACCGCCCUCCCGGUCCCACCUCCGACUUCUUCAACCACCUUGACCCCUUUCUCACCUUACUUCUCUCCUUCUCUCUGCCCACUCUGAUCC